CCCGCUCACACGGGGUGCCCUUCGGGGCUGAGAGGCGCUACGGCCCAACCCGACGAACCUGAUCCGGCUCGCACCGGCGGAGGGAUGGAGAGCGUCGCGGCA
rnacentral:ncRNA from 2 species